GACGAACGCUGGCGGCGUGCUUAACACAUGCAAGUCGAACGAAAAGAGGGAAAGAGCUUGCUCUUUCCGGAAUUGAGUGGCAAACGGGUGAGUAACACGUAAACAACCUGCCUUCAGGAUGGGGACAACAGACGGAAACGACUGCUAAUACCGAAUAAGUUCCAAGAGCCGCAUGGCCCAUGGAAGAAAAGGUGGCCUCUACCUGUAAGCUAUCGCCUGAAGAGGGGUUUGCGUCUGAUUAGCUGGUUGGAGGGGUAACGGCCCACCAAGGCGACGAUCAGUAGCCGGUCUGAGAGGAUGAACGGCCACACUGGAACUGGGACACGGUCCAGACUCCUACGGGAGGCAGCAGUGGGGAAUCUUCCGCAAUGGGCGAAAGCCUGACGGAGCAACGCCGCGUGAGUGAUGACGGCCUUCGGGUUGUAAAACUCUGUGAUCCGGGACGAAAAGGCAGAGUGCGAAGAACAAACUGCAUUGACGGUACCGGAAAAGCAAGCCACGGCUAACUACGUG
rnacentral:rRNA from 1 species